CAAGGAAUAGUUUAAAAAGAACUUCAGCUUUGGGUGCUGGCAGUGGAGUUAUUUCUUCUUCCUUGA
rnacentral:tRNA from 1 species